rnacentral:rRNA from 1 species
UGCGCAGGCGGUUUCUUAAGUUCGUCGUGAAAGCCCCGGGCUCAACCUGGGAACUGCGAUGGAAACUGGCAAGCUUGAGUGUGGCAGAGGGGGGUGGAAUUCCGCGUGUAGCAGUGAAAUGCGUAGAGAUGCGGAGGAACACCGAUGGCGAAGGCAGUGUCCUGGCGAGUAUACCUGACGCUGAGGCGCGAAAGCCAGGGGAGCGAACG